UCCCGCUGCGCGAUGGCUGGUUCCAGUCUGGCCCGUGCGCUUCUCCAGAGAAUUCCACAGCAAACCAGGUCCCGGAGUCCACACCUGGUUAGUUCAGGGAUGACAGUGCAGUGUAAGAGCAUGUUUAUCUCCCGUGCUCAGCGGGCAGAAUGAGGGGCGCCCCGGCACCCCAGACCGGCCGCUUUAUGUGGAUUCCGCCAUCCGCCUGAGACGAACAUACUCUGUUAUCAGGAUGAGAAGAUCCCAAAGAUCCAGAAGGGAAAAAUACGUGUAAAAAAGGAGAACAAAUGGAAGUAGUACUGAACUUCUAAUAGCAACUGUGAGAAUGAGAAGAUAACAAGUAGUAACAGUUGUAACUACAGAGAUAAAU